GCCAGCAGCCAUAUCACCCUGUAACUUGCAACUGGCAACCCACUGAAGCUAAGCAGGUGUGAGCCUGGUCAGUACCUGGAUGGGAGACCUCCUGGGAAAAACUAAGGUUGCUGCUGGAA
rnacentral:rRNA from 1 species